UGUUCCUACGGGGCGCAGCAGUGGGGGAUAUUGCACAAUGGGGGAAACCCUGAUGCAGCGACGCCGCGUGAGUGAAGAAGUAUUUCGGUAUGUAAAGCUCUAUCAGCAGGGACGAAAAUGACGGUACCUGAGUAAGAAGCCCCGGCUAACUACGUGCCAGCAGCCGCGGUAAUACGGAGGAUGCGAGCGUUAUCCGGAUUUAUUGGGUUUAAAGGGUGCGUAGGCGGAAUGCCAAGUCAGCGGUAAAAUCGCGGGGCUCAACCUCGCUCCGCCGUUGAAACUGGCGUUCUUGAGUGGGCGAGAAG
rnacentral:rRNA from 1 species